rnacentral:rRNA from 1 species
GACGAACGCUGGCGGCGCGCUUAACACAUGCAAGUCGAGCGAGAACCAGGCCUUCGGGCCUGGGGAAAGCGGCGAACGGGUGAGUAACACGUGGGUAAUCUGCCCUCGGCACCGGAAUAGCCCGGGGAAACCCGGAUUAAUGCCGGAUAGCCUCUCGAGCCCUCCGGCUCGUGAGAAAAGGUAGCUUCGGCCUCUGGCCGAGGAGGAGCCCGCGGCGGAUUAGCUUGUUGGUGGGGUAACGGCUCACCAAGGCGACGAUCCGUAGCUGGUCUGGGGGGACGAUCGGCCACACUGGGACUGGGACACGGCCCAGACUCCUACGGGAGGCAGCAGUGGGGAAUCUUGCGCAAUGGGCGAAAGCCUGACGCAGCGACGCCGCGUGCGGGAAGAAGGCCUUCGGGUUGUAAACCGCUUUCAGUUGGGACGAAGCUUCGCCGGUGAAUAGCCGGCUGGAGUGACGGUACCUUCACAAGAAGCCCCGGCUAACUACGUGCCAGCCGCCGCAGUAACAC